AAAGAAGGCCUUAUAAUUUCACCCAUGUCUCAUAUCUUCACCCCCACCACACCUUCUUGCUCCUGGUAACCACUAUUAUAUUUUCUACCACUGUUUUGUGUUUUUUUGUUUGUUUUUUACUCUUCCACAUAUAAGUGAGAUCAUGCAGUAUUUUUGUCUUUCUAGGUCUGGCUUAUUGCACUUAGAGUAAUGUUCUCCAGGUCCAUCUAUGUUGCAGCAAAUGGCAGGAUCUCCUUUUUUAAGGCCGAAUAAUAUUUCACCAUGUAUAUAUAUCACAUCUGCCAGUAGACACCUGGGCUGCUUCCACCCCUCGACUGUUGUGAAUGAUGCUGCUGUGAAGCUUGGGGCUACAGACAUCUUUACAACGUGGUGGGUCCUGCAGUAACUUACCAGUUCCUCAGCUAUUUCGCAUCAGACACACCUGGGCUCCAAUCUUAACUAUGGCACUCUAUUUCUUUUCCCUAAAUGGCAUUAUUGAGAUAUAACUGAUGUACAAGAAAUUACACAUAUUUUUUUAAAGAGAGAGAGAG
rnacentral:lncRNA from 1 species